CCUACGGGAGGCAGCAGUAGGGAAUUUUGCGCAAUGGGGGAAACCCUGACGCAGCAACGCCGCGUGAUCGAUGAAGCCCUUCGGGGUGUAAAGAUCUGUCAGUGGGGACGAAACCUGACGGUACCCACAGAGGAAGCACCGGCUACCUCCGUGCCAGCAGCCGCGGUACUACGGGGGGUGCAAGCGUUGUCCGGAAUCAUUGGGCGUAAAGGGUUCGUAGGUGGCACGUUAAGUCUGGUGUUAAAGUCUGAAGCACAACUUACGUAGGGCACUGGAUACUGGCGAGCUUGAGUGCGUUAGAGGUAAAGGGAAUUCGUGGUGUAGCGGUGAAAUGCGUAGAUAUCAGGAGGAACAUCGGUGGCGUAAGCGCUUUACUGGGCCGUAAUUGACACUGAGGAACGAAAGCCGGGGUAGCAAAUGGGAUUAGAUACCCGAGUAGUC
rnacentral:rRNA from 1 species